UUAAGCGACUAAGCGUACACGGUGGAUGCCCUGGCAGUCAGAGGCGAUGAAGGACGUGCUAAUCUGCGAUAAGCGUCGGUAAGGUGAUAUGAACCGUUAUAACCGGCGAUUUCCGAAUGGGGAAACCCAGUGUGUUUCGACACACUAUCAUUAACUGAAUCCAUAGGUUAAUGAGGCGAACCGGGGGAACUGAAACAUCUAAGUACCCCGAGGAAAAGAAAUCAACCGAGAUUCCCCCAGUAGCGGCGAGCGAACGGGGAGCAGCCCAGAGCCUGAAUCAGUGUGUGUGUUAGUGGAAGCGUCUGGAAAGGCGCGCGAUACAGGGUGACAGCCCCGUACACAAAAAUGCACAUGCUGUGAGCUCGAUGAGUAGGGCGGGACACGUGGUAUCCUGUCUGAAUAUGGGGGGACCAUCCUCCAAGGCUAAAUACUCCUGACUGACCGAUAGUGAACCAGUACCGUGAGGGAAAGGCGAAAAGAACCCCGGCGAGGGGAGUGAAAAAGAACCUGAAACCGUGUACGUACAAGCAGUGGGAGCACGCUUAGGCGUGUGACUGCGUACCUUUUGUAUAAUGGGUCAGCGACUUAUAUUCUGUAGCAAGGUUAACCGAAUAGGGGAGCCGAAGGGAAACCGAGUCUUAACUGGGCGUUAAGUUGCAGGGUAUAGACCCGAAACCCGGUGAUCUAGCCAUGGGCAGGUUGAAGGUUGGGUAACACUAACUGGAGGACCGAACCGACUAAUGUUGAAAAAUUAGCGGAUGACUUGUGGCUGGGGGUGAAAGGCCAAUCAAACCGGGAGAUAGCUGGUUCUCCCCGAAAGCUAUUUAGGUAGCGCCUCGUGAAUUCAUCUCCGGGGGUAGAGCACUGUUUCGGCAAGGGGGUCAUCCCGACUUACCAACCCGAUGCAAACUGCGAAUACCGGAGAAUGUUAUCACGGGAGACACACGGCGGGUGCUAACGUCCGUCGUGAAGAGGGAAACAACCCAGACCGCCAGCUAAGGUCCCAAAGUCAUGGUUAAGUGGGAAACGAUGUGGGAAGGCCCAGACAGCCAGGAUGUUGGCUUAGAAGCAGCCAUCAUUUAAAGAAAGCGUAAUAGCUCACUGGUCGAGUCGGCCUGCGCGGAAGAUGUAACGGGGCUAAACCAUGCACCGAAGCUGCGGCAGCGACGCUGAUGCGUUGUUGGGUAGGGGAGCGUUCUGUAAGCCUGCGAAGGUGUGCUGUGAGGCAUGCUGGAGGUAUCAGAAGUGCGAAUGCUGACAUAAGUAACGAUAAAGCGGGUGAAAAGCCCGCUCGCCGGAAGACCAAGGGUUCCUGUCCAACGUUAAUCGGGGCAGGGUGAGUCGACCCCUAAGGCGAGGCCGAAAGGCGUAGUCGAUGGGAAACAGGUUAAUAUUCCUGUACUUGGUGUUACUGCGAAGGGGGGACGGAGAAGGCUAUGUUGGCCGGGCGACGGUUGUCCCGGUUUAAGCGUGUAGGCUGGUUUUCCAGGCAAAUCCGGAAAAUCAAGGCUGAGGCGUGAUGACGAGGCACUACGGUGCUGAAGCAACAAAUGCCCUGCUUCCAGGAAAAGCCUCUAAGCAUCAGGUAACAUCAAAUCGUACCCCAAACCGACACAGGUGGUCAGGUAGAGAAUACCAAGGCGCUUGAGAGAACUCGGGUGAAGGAACUAGGCAAAAUGGUGCCGUAACUUCGGGAGAAGGCACGCUGAUAUGUAGGUGAAGUGACUUGCGGAUGGAGCUGAAAUCAGUCGAAGAUACCAGCUGGCUGCAACUGUUUAUUAAAAACACAGCACUGUGCAAACACGAAAGUGGACGUAUACGGUGUGACGCCUGCCCGGUGCCGGAAGGUUAAUUGAUGGGGUUAGCCGCAAGGCGAAGCUCUUGAUCGAAGCCCCGGUAAACGGCGGCCGUAACUAUAACGGUCCUAAGGUAGCGAAAUUCCUUGUCGGGUAAGUUCCGACCUGCACGAAUGGCGUAAUGAUGGCCAGGCUGUCUCCACCCGAGACUCAGUGAAAUUGAACUCGCUGUGAAGAUGCAGUGUACCCGCGGCAAGACGGAAAGACCCCGUGAACCUUUACUAUAGCUUGACACUGAACAUUGAGCCUUGAUGUGUAGGAUAGGUGGGAGGCUUUGAAGUGUGGACGCCAGUCUGCAUGGAGCCGACCUUGAAAUACCACCCUUUAAUGUUUGAUGUUCUAACGUUGACCCGUAAUCCGGGUUGCGGACAGUGUCUGGUGGGUAGUUUGACUGGGGCGGUCUCCUCCUAAAGAGUAACGGAGGAGCACGAAGGUUGGCUAAUCCUGGUCGGACAUCAGGAGGUUAGUGCAAUGGCAUAAGCCAGCUUGACUGCGAGCGUGACGGCGCGAGCAGGUGCGAAAGCAGGUCAUAGUGAUCCGGUGGUUCUGAAUGGAAGGGCCAUCGCUCAACGGAUAAAAGGUACUCCGGGGAUAACAGGCUGAUACCGCCCAAGAGUUCAUAUCGACGGCGGUGUUUGGCACCUCGAUGUCGGCUCAUCACAUCCUGGGGCUGAAGUAGGUCCCAAGGGUAUGGCUGUUCGCCAUUUAAAGUGGUACGCGAGCUGGGUUUAGAACGUCGUGAGACAGUUCGGUCCCUAUCUGCCGUGGGCGCUGGAGAACUGAGGGGGGCUGCUCCUAGUACGAGAGGACCGGAGUGGACGCAUCACUGGUGUUCGGGUUGUCAUGCCAAUGGCACUGCCCGGUAGCUAAAUGCGGAAGAGAUAAGUGCUGAAAGCAUCUAAGCACGAAACUUGCCCCGAGAUGAGUUCUCCCUGACUCCUUGAGAGUCCUGAAGGAACGUUGAAGACGACGACGUUGAUAGGCCGGGUGUGUAAGCGCAGCGAUGCGUUGAGCUAACCGGUACUAAUGAACCGUGAGGCUUAACCUU
rnacentral:rRNA from 1 species